UACGGGGGGGGCAAGCGUUGUUCGGAAUUACUGGGCGUAAAGGGCUCGUAGGCGGCCAACUAAGUCGGACGUGAAAUCCCCAGGCUCAACCUGGGAACUGCGUCCGAUACUGGAUGGCUUGAAUCCGGGAGAGGGAUGCAGAAUUCCAGGUGUAGCGGUGAAAUGCGCAGAUAUCAGGAGGAACACCGGUGGCGAAGGCGGGUCUCUGGGCCGUAACUGACGCUGAGGAGCGAAAGCAUGGGGAGCGAACAGG
rnacentral:rRNA from 1 species